AGGGAAUCUUCGGCAAUGGACGGAAGUCUGACCGAGCAACGCCGCGUGAGUGAAGAAGGUUUUCGGAUCGUAAAGCUCUGUUGUAAGAGAAGAACGAGUGUGAGAGUGGAAAGUUCACACUGUGACGGUAUCUUACCAGAAAGGGACGGCUAACUACGUGCCAACAGCCGCGGUAAUACGUAGGUCCCGAGCGUUGUCCGGAUUUAUUGGGCGUAAAGCGAGCGCAGGCGGUUAGAUAAGUCUGAAGUUAAAGGCUGUGGCUUAACCAUAGUACGCUUUGGAAACUGUUUAACUUGAGUGCAAGAGGGGAGAGUGGAAUUCCAUGUGUAGCGGUGAAAUGCGUAGAUAUAUGGAGGAACACCGGUGGCGAAAGCGGCUCUCUGGCUUGUAACUGACGCUGAGGCUCGAAAGCGUGGGGAGCAAACAGGAUUAGAUACCCUGGUAGUCCACGCCGUAAACGAUGAGUGCUAGGUGUUAGACCCUUUCCGGGGUUUAGUGCCGUAGCUAACGCAUUAAGCACUCCGCCUGGGGAGUACGACCGCAAGGUUG
rnacentral:rRNA from 1 species